rnacentral:rRNA from 1 species
GAGCAGUGGGGGGGGCUUACUAUGCGAGUCGAGCGGUAAGGCCCUUUCGGGGGUACACGAGCGGCGAACGGGUGAGUAACACGUGGGUGAUCUGCCCUGCACUCUGGGAUAAGCCUGGGAAACUGGCUCUAAUACCGGAUAUGAGCUCCUGUCGCAUGGCGGGUGUUGGAAAGGUUUACUGGUGCAGGAUGGGCCCGCGGCCUAUCAGCUUGUUGGUGGGGUAAUGGCCUACCAAGGCGACCACGGGUAGCCGGCCCGAGAGGGCGAGCGGCCGCUCUGGGACUGAGACACGGCCCGGACUCCAGCGUUAGGCAGCGGAUUGGAAUAUUGCACGGCGGGCGAAAGCCUUAUGCAGGGACGCCGCGUGAGGGAUGACGGCCUUCGGGUUUUAAACCUCUUUCAGCAGGGACGAAGCGAGAGUGACGGUACCUGCAGAAGAAGCACGGGCCAUCUACGUGCCAGCAGCCGCGGUAAUACGUAAGGGUGCGAGCGUUGUCCGGAAUUACUGGGCGUAGAGAGCUCGUAGGCGGUGUGUCGCGUCGUCCGUGAAAACUUGGGUCUCACCCCCAAGCUUGCGGGCGAUACGGGCAGACUUGAGUACUGCAGGAGAGACUGGAAUUCCUGGUGUAGCGGUGAAGUGCGCAUAUAUCAGGAGGAACACCGGUGGCGAAGGCGGGUCUCUGGGCAGUAACUGACGCUGAGGAGCGAAAGCGUGUGUAGCGAACAGGAUUAUAUACCGUGGUAGUGCACGCCGUACACGGUGGGCGCUAGGUGUUGGGUUUUCCCUUCCACGGGAUCCGUGCCGUAGCUAACGCAUUAAGCGCCCCGGCCCUGGGGAGUACCGGCCGCAGGGCUAAAUACUCAAAGGAAUUGGACGGGGGCCCGCACAAGCGGCGGCGCGUGUUGAUUAAUCCGAUGCCACGGGGAGAACCUUACCUUGGUUUGACAUAUACCGGAAACCCCUAAGAGAUGGGUGCCCCCUUGUGGCCGUUAACCGUGUGGUGCAAUGCUUCCGUCCGCUCGUGUCGUGAGAUGUUGUGUUAAGUCCCGGAACGAGCGCAACCCUUGUCCUGUGUCGCCCGCGCGUAAUGGCGGGGACUCGCAGGAGACUGCGGGUCUGUCCACCCGGAGGAGGGUGGGGAUGACGUCAAGUCAUCAUGCCCCUUAUGUCCAGGGCUUCACACAUGCUACAAUGGCCGGUACAGAGGGCUGCGAUACCGUGAGGUGGAGCGAAUCCCUUAAAGCCGGUCUCAGUUCGGAUCGGGGUCUGCAACUCGACCCCGUGAAGUCGGAGUCGCUAGUAAUCGCAGAUCAGCAACGCUGCGGUGAAUACGUUCCCGGGCCUUGUACACACCGCCCGUCACGUCAUGAAAGUCGGUAACACCCGAAGCCGGUGGCCUAACCCUUGUGGAGGAGCCGUCGAAUAGUAGAUACGCACUACUCCGU